GGUUAAGCGACUAAGCGUACACGGUGGAUGCCCUGGCAGUCAGAGGCGAUGAAGGGCGUGCUAAUCUGCGAUAAGCGCCGGUAAGGUGAUAUGAACCGUUAUAACCGGCGAUACCCGAAUGGGGAAACCCAGUGUGAUUCGUCACACUAUCAUUAACUGAAUCCAUAGGUUAAUGAGGCGAACCGGGGGAACUGAAACAUCUAAGUACCCCGAGGAAAAGAAAUCAACCGAGAUUCCCCCAGUAGCGGCGAGCGAACGGGGAGGAGCCCAGAGCCUGAAUCAGCAUGUGUGUUAGUGGAAGCGUCUGGAAAGGCGCGCGAUACAGGGUGACAGCCCCGUACACAAAAGCGCAUGUGCUGUGAGCUCGAUGAGUAGGGCGGGACACGUGGUAUCCUGUCUGAAUAUGGGGGGACCAUCCUCCAAGGCUAAAUACUCCUGACUGACCGAUAGUGAACCAGUACCGUGAGGGAAAGGCGAAAAGAACCCCGGCGAGGGGAGUGAAAAAGAACCUGAAACCGUGUACGUACAAGCAGUGGGAGCACCCUUCGGGGUGUGACUGCGUACCUUUUGUAUAAUGGGUCAGCGACUUAUAUUCUGUAGCAAGGUUAACCGUAUAGGGGAGCCGGAGGGAAACCGAGUCUUAAUUGGGCGUUAAGUUGCAGGGUAUAGACCCGAAACCCGGUGAUCUAGCCAUGGGCAGGUUGAAGGUUGGGUAACACUAACUGGAGGACCGAACCGACUAAUGUUGAAAAAUUAGCGGAUGACCUGUGGCUGGGGGUGAAAGGCCAAUCAAACCGGGAGAUAGCUGGUUCUCCCCGAAAGCUAUUUAGGUAGCGCCUCGUGAAUUCAUCUCCGGGGGUAGAGCACUGUUUCGGCUAGGGGGCCAUCCCGGCUUACCAACCCGAUGCAAACUGCGAAUACCGGAGAAUGUUAUCACGGGAGACACACGGCGGGUGCUAACGUCCGUCGUGAAGAGGGAAACAACCCAGACCGCCAGCUAAGGUCCCAAAGUCAUGGUUAAGUGGGAAACGAUGUGGGAAGGCCCAGACAGCCAGGAUGUUGGCUUAGAAGCAGCCAUCAUUUAAAGAAAGCGUAAUAGCUCACUGGUCGAGUCGGCCUGCGCGGAAGAUGUAACGGGGCUAAACCAUGCACCGAAGCUGCGGCAGCGAACGUAUCACCCAAGACAACUUUACGGAGUUGACGAUUGACGGAGCGAAGCGACGUCAAAGCGUUCAUUAAAGUCGAGUUGGCUUAGGGAUACGUUCGUUGGGUAGGGGAGCGUUCUGUAAGCCUGUGAAGGUGUGUCGUGAGGCAUGCUGGAGGUAUCAGAAGUGCGAAUGCUGACAUAAGUAACGAUAAAGCGGGUGAAAAGCCCGCUCGCCGGAAGACCAAGGGUUCCUGUCCAACGUUAAUCGGGGCAGGGUGAGUCGACCCCUAAGGCGAGGCCGAAAGGCGUAGUCGAUGGGAAACGGGUUAAUAUUCCCGUACUUGGUGUUACUGCGAAGGGGGGACGGAGAAGGCUAUGUUGGCCGGGCGACGGUUGUCCCGGUUUAAGCGUGUAGGUGUGUGUUCCAGGUAAAUCCGGUUCACUUUAACACUGAGGCGUGACGACGAGGCACUACGGUGCUGAAGCAACAAAUGCCCUGCUUCCAGGAAAAGCCUCUAAGCAUCAGGUAACAUCAAAUCGUACCCCAAACCGACACAGGUGGUCAGGUAGAGAAUACCAAGGCGCUUGAGAGAACUCGGGUGAAGGAACUAGGCAAAAUGGUGCCGUAACUUCGGGAGAAGGCACGCUGACACGUAGGUGAAGUGAUUUACUCAUGGAGCUGAAGUCAGUCGAAGAUACCAGCUGGCUGCAACUGUUUAUUAAAAACACAGCACUGUGCAAACACGAAAGUGGACGUAUACGGUGUGACGCCUGCCCGGUGCCGGAAGGUUAAUUGAUGGGGUCAGCGCAAGCGAAGCUCCUGAUCGAAGCCCCGGUAAACGGCGGCCGUAACUAUAACGGUCCUAAGGUAGCGAAAUUCCUUGUCGGGUAAGUUCCGACCUGCACGAAUGGCGUAAUGAUGGCCAGGCUGUCUCCACCCGAGACUCAGUGAAAUUGAACUCGCUGUGAAGAUGCAGUGUACCCGCGGCAAGACGGAAAGACCCCGUGAACCUUUACUAUAGCUUGACACUGAACAUUGAGCCUUGAUGUGUAGGAUAGGUGGGAGGCUUUGAAGUGUGGACGCCAGUCUGCAUGGAGCCGACCUUGAAAUACCACCCUUUAAUGUUUGAUGUUCUAACGUGGACCCGUUACCCGGGUUGCGGACAGUGUCUGGUGGGUAGUUUGACUGGGGCGGUCUCCUCCUAAAGAGUAACGGAGGAGCACGAAGGUUGGCUAAUCCUGGUCGGACAUCAGGAGGUUAGUGCAAUGGCAUAAGCCAGCUUGACUGCGAGCGUGACGGCGCGAGCAGGUGCGAAAGCAGGUCAUAGUGAUCCGGUGGUUCUGAAUGGAAGGGCCAUCGCUCAACGGAUAAAAGGUACUCCGGGGAUAACAGGCUGAUACCGCCCAAGAGUUCAUAUCGACGGCGGUGUUUGGCACCUCGAUGUCGGCUCAUCACAUCCUGGGGCUGAAGUAGGUCCCAAGGGUAUGGCUGUUCGCCAUUUAAAGUGGUACGCGAGCUGGGUUUAGAACGUCGUGAGACAGUUCGGUCCCUAUCUGCCGUGGGCGCUGGAGAACUGAGGGGGGCUGCUCCUAGUACGAGAGGACCGGAGUGGACGCAUCACUGGUGUUCGGGUUGUCAUGCCAAUGGCACUGCCCGGUAGCUAAAUGCGGAAGAGAUAAGUGCUGAAAGCAUCUAAGCACGAAACUUGCCCCGAGAUGAGUUCUCCCUGAGACUUAGAGUCUCCUGAAGGAACGUUGAAGACGACGACGUUGAUAGGCCGGGUGUGUAAGCGCAGCGAUGCGUUGAGCUAACCGGUACUAAUGAACCGUGAGGCUUAACCUU
rnacentral:rRNA from 2 species